rnacentral:rRNA from 1 species
AGAACGAACGCUGGCGGCAGGCUUAACACAUGCAAGUCGAGCGCCCCGCAAGGGGAGCGGCAGACGGGUGAGUAACGCGUGGGAACAUACCCUCCGGUUCGGAAUAGCUCAGGGAAACUUGGAUUAAUACCGGAUACGGCCUAGCGGCGAAAGAUUCAUCGCCGGAGGAUUGGCCCGCGUCUGAUUAGCUAGUUGGUGGGGUAAUGGCCCACCAAGGCGACGAUCAGUAGCUGGUCUGAGAGGAUGAUCAGCCACAUUGGGACUGAGACACGGCCCAAACUCCUACGGGAGGCAGCAGUGGGGAAUAUUGGACAAUGGGCGCAAGCCUGAUCCAGCCAUGCCGCGUGAGUGAUGACGGCCUUAGGGUUGUAAAGCUCUUUCGCUAGGGACGAUAAUGACGGUACCGGGAGAAUAAGCCCCGGCUAACUUCGUGCCAGCAGCCGC